GACUUCAUGGUCCAGUAUUUGAGAUCAUUGGCUAAAAAUGUCAUCCAAGUUGGCAAAAAAGGAAUUUAGUGGUACUAUCGUUGAUCAUCCAAUAUAUUUACAAGAGAUUCCUUACAAAUAGUUUGACCUGUUACACAAUAAAAAUGUCUUUUCACACAUGAAUAUGAGGUGAACAAAUAUAAAAAUAAUUUGUUUGACGUCCACAUCAUGAUAUAACUGCAAAAUAAUGCGACAAAUUAUAAGUCCAAAAGCAACACAUAGCUGUCCCGGUCAAUGAAGUCCUAUUGCAUACUAUUCUUCCAUCUUUUUCGGCCACUUUUAGUGUGUAGUGAGUUCAAAAUCCAUCUGCAACUCCAUUAAAAUGAACAAAUUUCAAUGUCAUACGAUGAUUUAACAUGUAAUGAAUUUGUACAACACAUAGUGAAUCAAUUUAAACAAUUUUUAUUUUAUUAUAACUGUCGAGAAAUCCAAUAACCAUUUGUCAAGAAUAAUUGAUUUUCGCUACAAAUGUUCAGUCAGUACUUUAAAGAAUCUUCGAAGGUGCAAAAACGAAUCAGAUUUUGUAAUUCACAAUGACUAUAAAAUGAACCACAUUGCAACAAAUUGAAUCAACCAUAGAAUGCAACACAUAAUACACUGAAUAAUGAUCAUGAAUGAACCAAGUUACUUGAGCUAUGAAUCAACAAAUUGAACCACAUUACAAUAAAUUGAACAUAUCAAUCCACAAAUUCAACCUACAAUGAGCAUGUAUAUUCUAAUAAUCCACAAUGGAAAUGCAUAUUCUAAUAAACCAUAAAUUCAACCAACAUCCAAAAAACCCCUAAUUCUGAGUGAAUUGUUUCAAAAAUCAUCGAACUUAUGCCAUGGUCACGGACUGCUCAUCAAACUUCAUUCUGCUUCAUAGUACUAACUCAACUUCACUCGUUUGCUCUCCAUCCACCACCGUCAGAAAAUCUGUUUGUGGGUUGCUUACAUGGCAAACGAAAUUCCUAGGUGGCAUCUAAUGAUCGUUAACUUGGGAGAAAAAUGACAUCUUCCUAUUCAGCAAAAAAAUAAAAUAAAAAACCAAUUUUUGAAAAAUAAAAUGGAAAAACAAUUUUUUCCCCAUUAGCUUAAAUAAAAAGGGGGGGAAAAAAACAAAAACCGAUUUCUAUAAUCUGAAAAAACCAUGGACGUCUUCAACAAUCAGGAAUCAAGACUCAGUCAACCUCUAAAUCGAUUACCCAAAUUCUUCUUCCAUAAUCCAUAAUCCCAAAUCUGUAAGUUUUUCCUACCUGUUGAACCCUGGAUUACAAAGAAGAGGACAAUGCAUAAAAAUGCUUCUCCAACUUUACACACUCCGUCCGCAAACACAAGUGUUGAUUAUAACCAAUUUCAAACUCAGUUGUAGGCACACACUACUAAUCAAAUUCAAAGCUAUGAUUACAACAUAAUAGUCAAUACAUAGGAUUCAGACUAACAUUACAAAAACCAUAAUUAAUACAUAAGAUUCAAUUCUUCAACAGAAUGGCCGGAUUACAAUGAGGACGACAAUGCCCAAAAACGCAAUUUUGUAUAUUUUUCAUCAAUUUGCAGAAUUUCUGGUGUUCUCAGAUGCACAAUUGCUUCACAAUAACAGUACCUUAUUGACCCAAUAUCCCCAAAAACUUCAGAUAUUGCCGCCACAAAGCUAUAACAACGAGAUGGCUGCAGAAGAAAAAAUUAGGCGGUCCGUAGAGAGGGGAGGAAUUUUUCAGCUUUAACACAACACCCCUGGUUGUGUAGGUUCAACCGUGUGUGCAAGACAGACUUCGUGCUUGGAAGAAGACGUAGUUCGUCAAUCGAUUUAGGGAAAAUCAGACUCAACCAAAGCUUUGAAGUACAGAAAUCGUUUGUCCCCCCGUUUUAUUUAAGCUAAAGGGACAAAAUCGUCUGUCAGACACCCGAUUUUGCUAAAUAGGCAGAAGACCACAUUUUUCUCCCAAGUUAACGGGUGGCAUAUUUUAUCAGCCACGUCAGCGACCAACAAACAGAUUUUUGGCAGUGGUAGAUGGAGAGCAAACGGGCAAAGUUGAGUGAGUACUCUGAAGCAAAAUGAAGUUUGAUGAGAAGUCCGUGACUAUGGUAUAAGUUCA
rnacentral:lncRNA from 1 species